GUGUCAGCAGCCGCGGUAAUACGGAGGGUGCAAACGUUGCUCGGAAUCAUUGGGCGUAAAGCGAACGUAGGCGGCCUUGUAAGUCGGGUGUGAAAGCCCUCGGCUCAACCGAGGAAGUGCAUUCGAAACUGCAAGGCUGGAGUAUCGGAGAGGAUAGCGGAAUUCCCGGUGUAGAGGUGAAAUUCGUAGAUAUCGGGAGGAACACCAGUGGCGAAGGCGGCUAUCUGGACGAAUACUGACGCUGAAGUUCGAAAGCGUGGGGAGCAAACAGGAUUAGAUACCCUGGUAGUCCACGCCGUAAACGAUGAGUGCUAGGUGUCGCGGGUAUUGACCCCUGCGGUGCCGAAGUUAACGCAUUAAGCACUCCGCCUGGGGAGUACGGCCGCAAGGCUAAA
rnacentral:rRNA from 1 species